CCUACGGGCGGCAGCAGUGAGGAAUAUUGGUCAAUGGGCGGAAGCCUGAACCAGCCAAGUAGCGUGCGGGAUGAAGGCCCUACGGGUCGUAAACCGCUUUUGCACGGGGAUAACACCCUCCACUUGUGGAGGUCUGCAGGUACCGUGCGAAUAAGGGCCGGCUAAUUCCGUGCCAGCAGCCGCGGUAAUACGGAAGGCCCGAGCGUUAUCCGGAUCCAUUGGGGUAAAAGGGAGCGUAGGCGGGCGUUCAAGUCAGCUGGAAAAUCGCGGGGCUCAACCGCGCCCCGCAGUUGAAACUGGACGCCUUGAGUGCACAACAGGCAGGCGGAAUUCGUGGUGUAGCGGUGAAAUGCAUAGAGAUCACGAGGAACCCCGAUUGCGAAGGCAGCCUGCCGGGGUGCGACUGACGCUGAGGCUCGAAGGUGCGGGUAUCAAACAGGAUUAGAUACCCGUGUAGUC
rnacentral:rRNA from 1 species